UAACCAGGUUUUCCGAAGGAAAAAACUGGUUAUUAGAUUGGCGAAUGCGGGCGGGCUGGCUGGCUGGCUGGCGGGCUGGCGGGCGGGCGGAACAAGCUUGUCCGGGCCAUAACUAUGUCGUUCAUUGUCAGAUUUUAAAAUCAUUUGGCACAUUUGUUCACCAUCAUUGGACGGUGUGUCGCGCGAAAUAAUUACGUCAAUAUCUCCAAGGUCAAGGUCACACUUUGAGUUCAAAGGUCAAAAAUGGCCAUAAAUGUCCCUUGAGAUAUAACCUUCAUAUUUGGUAUGCAUGUGUAUAUGGACAACUCCUUUCCAUACGCACACAAAUUUUGACCGUCCGUCCGUGUGUCCGUCCGAAAACUUUAACGUUGCUCAUAACUUUUGCAAUAUUGAAGAUAGCAACUUGAUAUUUGCCAUGCAUGUGUAUCUUAUGAAGCUGCACAUUUUUAGUGGUGAAAGGUCAAGGUCAUCCUUCAUGGUCAAAGGUCAAAAAAAAAAAAUUCAUGUGCAUAUCUCCAAUGUCAAGGUCGCCACGACUAAAAA